GACAGAGGAUGCAAGCGUUAUCCGGAAUUAUUGGGCGUAAAGAGCUCGUAGGCGGUUUGUCGCGUCUGCCGUGAAAGUCCGGGGCUCAACUCCGGAUCUGCGGUGGGUACGGGCAGACUAGAGUGCAGUAGGGGAGACUGGAAUUCCUGGUGUAGCGGUGAAAAUGCGCAGAUAUCAGGAGGAACACCGAUGGCGAAGGCAGGUCUCUGGGCUG
rnacentral:rRNA from 1 species